GAGACUCAGUGACGCAGACAGAAAGAGAAGUUGUUGCUGCUGCAGGAAGCUCAGUGACUCUGGGAUGUACUUAUCAGACUAGUGAUACAACUCCUAUGUUACUCUGGUAUAAACAAGAAGAAAACAGUUUCCCAAAGUACAUGCUGAAAGAAUAUUAUCAAAUAACAGAUAAUGCUCCAGAGUUCAGCAAAGACAGAUUUGAUGCGAAGGUCAACAACUCAGCGUUUAACCUGAAGAUCCAGGAUCUCCGUCCGUCAGACUCUGCUGUGUACUACUGCGCUCUGCAGCCCACAGUGACAGGAAACACCAGGAGCCUCAUGCAAAAAUGA